rnacentral:rRNA from 1 species
UAAGCGGAGGAAAAGAAACUAACAAGGAUUCCCCUAGUAACGGCGAGUGAAGCGGGAAGAGCUCAAAUUUGUAAUCUGGCACUUUCAGUGUCCGAGUUGUAAUCUCGAGAAGUGUUUUCCGCGCCGGACCGCAUACAAGUCUGUUGGAAUACAGCGUCAUAGUGGUGAGAACCCCGUAACUGAUGCGGAUGCCCGGUGCUUUGUGAUACACUUUCGAAGAGUCGAGUUGUUUGGGAAUGCAGCUCAAAUUGGGUGGUAAAUUCCAUCUAAAGCUAAAUAUUGGCGAGAGACCGAUAGCGAACAAGUACCGUGAGGGAAAGAUGAAAAGCACUUUGGAAAGAGAGUUAACAGUACGUGAAAUUGUUGGAAGGGAAACGCUUGAAGUCAGACUUGCUAUUUGGAGUUCAACCCAUGGUGUAUUCUUCAAUUUGCAGGCCAGCAUCAGUUUCUGGGGGUGGAAAAUCGUAGUUUGAAUGUAGCAGUUUCGGCUGUGUUAUAGCUUUCUACUGGAUUCAUCUUCGGGGACUGAGGAACGCAGUGCGCUUUUAGCAAGGCUCUCGAGCUUUACGCACUUAGGAUGCUGGUGGAAUGGCUUUAAACGACCCGUCUUGAAACACG